UUCAUUCGACCAAUUUUCCCAAUUCUAGGGCCAAACCAAACCCUCACACAGUCACACACUCACAAUUCGCUGCUCCCGAACGCGCUCACGUUCGGAACGGAAGCCAUGGAUGCGCUAAGGAAGCAGCUCGAUGUGCUGAUGGGAGCCAACCGCAACGGCGACGCGCAGGAGGUGACGCGCAAGUACUACGAUCGCGACGUCUGCCGCCUCUUCCUCGCCGGACUUUGCCCGCACGAGCUUUUCCAGCUUACUAAAAUGGACAAGGGACCAUGCCCCAAGGUGCACUCGCUGCAGCUGAGGAAAGAAUAUGAGGAUGCAAAAGCAAAGGGUGUUGACAAUUAUGAUAGGGAUUUAGAGGAUAACAUAGACAGACUUAUUGUCGAGUGUGAUCGUAAAAUUGAAAGGGCUCUGAAGAGACUUGAUGAAGAGGAUGCCAAAGCAGCUGUUGCAAUUUCUGUAUCGGAAGUUACCCUGACACCAGAGAUUGAUGAGAUGUCAAAGCAAAUUAAGGAGAAAUUGCAUGAACUCGAUCAAUUUGAUCUUGAAGGCAAGACGGACAUGAAGAUGCGGGUCCAGGAAGAGAUUGAAGAGCUAAGAACUCAAAGAGCAGAUAAACAGUCUAUGCUUCUUUUGGAUGCUUUCAACAAAGAUCGUGCAUCUCUUCCUCAGCCUAUGGCGAAUGCUUUGCAGGGUGCACCUAUGCCUGCAGCUGUUCCAGAUCCUCACAUUCAGGAGAUGAUCAAUGAAAAGCUAAAGAAAGCUGAAGAACUUGGUGAACAAGGAAUGGUAGAUGAAGCACAGAAAGCAUUAGAAGAGGCCGAAGCACUAAAAAAGCUGCCAGCUCGACAGGAACCUGUACUGGAUUCAUCAAAGUACACAGCUGCUGAUGUGCGCAUUACUGAUCAGAAGCUUCGUGUCUGUGACAUUUGUGGAGCAUUCCUCAGUGUUUAUGACAGCGAUCGCCGUUUAGCUGAUCAUUUUGGUGGAAAGCUCCAUUUAGGGUAUAUGCUAAUCCGUGAAAAGCUAGUUGAACUCCAGGUGCUGCUAUAAUCUUUCAAUUUCUUAUAGAGAGUCUCACUUUAUAUGUCCUCUGAAACAAAAGGGUAAGGUAACAGCUGGUGACCAUCUGUAAGUUUUCCUGGUAUGACGUUUGAAGUUCUCUUAAGUAGAAUUCGAACAGAUGAAAAUCAUUUUAUUAGCUAAUUUGAAAAUAAAAAUGAGAGGCUUUAGCUGAUUGGAGUUAUUAAGACCGAUUAGAUAAAGAUUAGGAAUUUAUCAUGUUUUACUGUAUCUAGAUGCUGCUUAGGGGACAGUAAUUUGCCUUUCUGCUGGAAAAGGGGUACAUUUGAUGCCUUGAAAUUCAGGUUUGUUAGUCAGGAAACAGACACAAUUCUUAUUGUAGUUCUGCAAACCAGUUUAGAUUCACAUUUGCUUUUUAAUCUGCACCGACUAGCUGUUUCUGCUCUAACUUUAGCUGGAUACGCCAAUUGAAUGUGAUAAUUUAUCACUGUAGUGGCAUACUGUGCCUUACCUUUAAGAAGGUACCAAUUUGACUUUUAGUUGAUAGUACACAAAUGAUAGAUUAAUCUCGAGGGUAUCUCUGACGAAAACAUGCUGUUUUUAUCUCUCGGGUUUAGCAGCACAGCAUGUAUCCUCUAGGGAACAGAAUUGAGAUUUAUACUUAUCAAAUAAGAGACCCAGAAAAUGAUUCAAACUGAUAAGUUUACAUUUUCUUGGUAAGAUAAACCAGAUAUACCAAGGGGCAGUAAAAUUUCUUCAGUUGGUUUGCACCUUCAGUGGGCUAUGGGGAAGAAUAUGUUUGUUUAUUUCGAUUAUACUUAACUUGGAUCAACCAUAAUGUGUCAUUUCAAAUGUAUCUUAUUUUGGAUCAUUAUCAGGAAGAGCGAGACAAGAAACGUAAAACCCUUGAAGAAGAGAGAAGGAAAAGCCUGGAGCAUGAGAGAGGAUCUAGCAAGGAUCGAGAAAGAGUUGACAGAGGUGAUCGUAAGGAUUAUGAUCGUCGGAGCCGAGACCGGGACAGGCAUUAUGAUCGCA